GGGGCAGUAGUUAAAAAUAACAUUUAAUUUGCAAUUAAAAAGUACUCAAAGUCUGUCUCA
rnacentral:tRNA from 1 species